rnacentral:rRNA from 1 species
AUUGAACGCUGGCGGCAGGCCUAACUCAUGCAAGUCGAGCGGAGCGGCGGACGGGUGAGUAAUGCCUAGGAAUCUGCCUGGUAGUGGGGGCUAACGUCCGGAAACGGGCGCUAAUACCGCAUACUAUCAGAUGAGCCUAGGUCGGAUUAGCUAGUUGGUGGGGUAAAGGCCUACCAAGGCGACGAUCCGUAACUGGUCUGAGAGGAUGAUCAGUCACACGGGAACUGAGACACGGUCCAGACGCCGAAGGGAGGCAGCAGUGGGGAAUAUUGGACAAUGGGCGAAAGCCUGAUCGAGCAAUGACGCGUGAGUGAAGAAGGUCUUCGGAUUGUAAAGCGCUUUAAGUUGGAAGGCGUUACCAACAGAAUAAGCACCGGCUAACUUCGUGCCAGCAGCCGCGGUAAUAG